rnacentral:rRNA from 1 species
UACGUAGGGUGCAAGCGUUGUCCGGAAUUAUUGGGCGUAAAGAGCUCGUAGGCGGUCUGUCGCGUCGAUCGUGAAAACUUGGGGCUUAACCCUGAGCUUGCGGUCGAUACGGGCAUGACUGGAGUUCGGCAGGGGAGACUGGAAUUCCUGGUGUAGCGGUGAAAUGCGCAGAUAUCAGGAGGAACACCGGUGGCGAAGGCGGGUCUCUGGGACGGUACUGACGCUGAGACGCGAAAGCGUGGGGAGCGAACAGG